AGAAAAAUAAGCUAAAUAAGCUAUUAGGCUCAUAACCUAAAUAUAGAGUUAAUACUCUUUUUUCUA
rnacentral:tRNA from 1 species